GUAGGGAAUAUUGGGCAAUGGAUGCAAGUCUGACCCAGCCAUGCCGCGUGGAGGAAGAAGGUCCUCUGGAUUGUAAACUCCUUUUUUGGGGGAAGAAUAGUUCUCUUGCGAGGGAAUGUGACGGUACCCUAAGAAUAAGCCAAGGCUAACUACGUGCCAGCAGCCGCGGUAAUACGUAGGUGGCAAGCGUUGUCCGGAUUUAUUGGGUUUAAAGGGUGCGUAGGUGGUUUGAUAAGUCAGUGGUGAAAGCUGGUUGCUCAACAAUCAAGUUGCCAUUGAUACUGUCGGACUUGAGAGAAGUGGAGGUUCAUGGAAUGGAUGGUGUAGCGGUGAAAUGCAUAGAUAUCAUCCAGAACGUCGAUUGCGAAGGCAGUGGGCUGUACUUUAUCUGACACUGAGGCACGAAAGUGUGGGGAUCAAACAGGAUUAGAAACCCGAGUAGUCC
rnacentral:rRNA from 1 species